UUCGACAGUCUUGGACAUUUAAAGAAGAUUGCCCAGUACAUGUAAGAUUCAAAGUAUCGUCUGAUGGAAAAGCACUCGAGGUAACAUCGGUUCAAAUGAAGCACAAUCAUGUCACUUCGAAGGUUCUACAUGCACAUAACCCUAGCCAAAGAAAACUUUCCAGUAACAUGAAGGAAAGCGUCAAGGAUUAUUUGAAUAUGAAGGCCAAUAGAAAAAUGAUACAGCAAAAAGUUCAAGAAAGUACUGGUGCCAAUGUAGCUGUUUUGCGAGACGAAGACAAUAAUUU